AAGCAUGAUGAGGGUACUUUUUAAUCAUUUCCUUAAAUCUUUUCCAACUUUCACAAAUUGACUCUCUGUCAUAUUGGGAAAAUGAAGUAAUAGCAUUCCUAAGCUU